rnacentral:lncRNA from 1 species
CCAGAAUAAAAAUUUGAUCAGUGCUACAGGGACUACUGGAGGUUCUCCACAAUCACAAUUACCCUAGGAAAGGUUUGCAGUGUUACUUCUAUUCCUUAAUUAGCUCACAACAACAGCAGAAAAUGACUGCACUCAGGCAGUGUGCCUGCACACCUCCACGCUCCACAGGUGCUUGAAGCACCACGGACGCCCCAGCUCCCCGCUAGGAGCCCUCCACCCCCCCCUCCUACAGG